GCUUCAUCCAGCCCCAAGCACCCCAGGGGACUGCCAAGCUGGGCCACUUCCUUAGCGCGGGACAGUCAGCGUGCACCACAGAGGUUCUGCCAGCUGCCCAGGAGAGCUUCAUCCAG